rnacentral:rRNA from 1 species
UGGGGAGUAUUGCACAAUGGGCGAAAGCCUGAUGCAGCAACGCCGCGUGAGUGAUGAAGGUCUUCGGAUUGUAAAGCUCUGUCUUUUGGGACGAUAAUGACGGUACCAAAGGAGGAAGCCACGGCUAACUACGUGCCAGCAGCCGCGGUAAUACGUAGGUGGCGAGCGUUGUCCGGAUUUACUGGGCGUAAAGGGUGCGUAGGCGGAUGUUUAAGUGGGAUGCGAAAUACCCGGGCUUAACUUGGGUGCUGCAUUUCAAACUGGAUAUCUAGAGUGCAGGAGAGGAGAAUGGAAUUCCUAGUGUAGCGGUGAAAUGCGUAGAGAUUAGGAAGAACACCAGUGGCGAAGGCGAUUCUCUGGACUGUAACUGACGCUGAGGCACGAAAGCGUGGGUAGCAAACAGGAUUAGAUACCCUGGUAGUCCACGCCGUAAACGAUGAGUACUAGGUGUAGGAGGUAUCGACCCCUUCUGUGCCGCAGUAAACACAUUAAGUACUCCGCCUGGGAAGUACGAUCGCAAGAUU